AGAGUUUGAUCAUGGCUCAGGAUGAACGCUAGCGGCAGGCUUAACACAUGCAAGUCGAGGGGUAGAUUUUCUUCGGAGAAUUGAGACCGGCGCACGGGUGCGUAACGCGUAUGCAACUUACCUUAUACUGGGGGAUAGCCCGGAGAAAUUCGGAUUAAUACCGCAUAUGCUCACAGUUUCGCAUGGAACAGUGAGGAAAGAUUUAUCGGUAUAAGAUAGGCAUGCGUCCUAUUAGCUUGUUGGUGAGGUAACGGCUCACCAAGGCGAUGAUAGGUAGGGGGCCUGAGAGGGUGGUCCCCCACACUGGUACUGAGACACGGACCAGACUCCUACGGGAGGCAGCAGUGAGGAAUAUUGGGCAAUGGAGGCAACUCUGACCCCAGCUAUGCCGCGUGAAGGAUGAAGGUCCUCUGGAUUGUAAACUUCUUUUGUAUGGGGAUAAACUUUUUCUACGUGUAGAAAACUGAAGGUACCAUACGAAUAAGGAUCGGCUAACUCCGUGCCAGCAGCCGCGGUAAUACGGAGGAUCCAAGCGUUAUCCGGAUUUCUUGGGUUUAAAGGGUCC
rnacentral:rRNA from 1 species